UGGAAAGAAAACGAUUCGCAUCCAUUAGUAGGACGUACGAUAAUUUUCUCUCGCCCGAUCUGUUGCGAUCGUGAUCUUGCGAGGCAAGAUAUUUUUUUGGUGAUCCGAUCUAUACGCCUGUGACAUCUAGAGUCCAAAUCGACUAGAAGAUCUUUCUCCGGCCGAGGAACAUCUACCGCGGACGCCGCUCUGCCAUCGAGUCGCCGUGAAGCGCCUUCCGCGCAUCAUGCAGGUUGGGCGUCAUGGCCGCAGCAGCUAGCGGGCAAAUUUCGCGCCGUCUCCAACGACUGCCGCAACUAAUCUGGGAUUUGUUUCUCUGAACGGAAACCGAAGCUCGAUUGGAGGAGGAGAUGCGACUACUGGUCGAACGCCGAGAUCCAUCUCCGAAGCUGGCCUCCUACCUAUUAGCCUCAUCUUUUAUUCAAACAUGAAGACCGGAGGUGAGAAGAAAGUUAGAUUGGGGAGGAGAGAAGAUGGACCAGGCAAAGAUAGAAACAUGGGGGCACGCAACAAGUCCUCUUUCAGAUGAAUUUGUGUACUAGAUUAUCUGCGGAUUUGUUCAGCUUUUUCAUACUCAUUAUAUCGAGAAACAUGGGUGAUGAAGUGUUUAUAAUACCCAUUAGUUUGAUCAUGGCCUUUUUUCUGAAAGUACAAGUUGAUUGAUAAUGCAUGUCUCGGCAGUGGAUUUAUUGCAGUAGAAGCAGCACGGAUUCGUCUCGCCUGAAUAUGCCCAAUCAGUUGAUUUUUGCUUCAAUAUUUUUCCUCAUUCCUGCACUUAAGCUAUGAACUCAUCGUCUUUAUAAUGCAGGUUGCAGUUAAUUUGUCACCAUAUGGAUACAAUCGUACAAUCACUGUCUAUAGAUGGGGCACAUGAGCUGGAGAUUCUACAUAGUCACAUAGGUGCAAACGAUGCCUUUAUCUUUUACAAACCUCGAUUUGCAGGGCUUCCGAACCUGCCUAGGAGUUGAAGGUUCAGUUCUCCAAGACAGACCACCAUUGCACAUGCAGUCCUGCAAGAUCGAUUAAAGACCUGCAUCAUAGAGAUAGCCAAGAGCAAGAUACGAUCAAAGACGUGCUUCUUAGAGACAGCGCAGAGCAGUAACAUCAUGGGCAAAUGUAAAACAAGGGUGCACAUCUACCAGGAGCACAAUCGGAUCAAUCCCAGGAAUAGAUCGGCUAAGCUGCAAGCAGGCGUGAGUCUUUACAGAUCAUUCUGCACGUGUUGUCUUGGAGGAAGUUCGCACAAUUGCCCGCCCUAACUUGAUGCAGCCAUCCACCGCAGCUAGGGAUGGCCAGGCCAGCACUCAUUACUCAGCUCCAGAACAUCUCUUAUUAUGCAAUUGGCAUGGCUUCUACAUCAGGUAAUCGUUUUCUUCAGGGUCAAUUCCUUUCUUACAAUAGGACUCCUAAUCCACGAUCUACUUCCUGUAUCUAUGAAUUCAUGGAGAACUUGAUUACAUGACGUUCUGUUCACAAGUCUUGCACUGACGUUCCUGAGAUGCGAGGUGGAUUUAGAUGAGAAAUUUAUGUACCUGCUUUGUACUUAUGUGUGUCCCUAUCGCUACAAAAGGUUCAUCUUUUAUUGUGAAAACAAGAAAAAUACUUGAGAAGAUUUUUUUAAUGGAUUUCUCUCCGCUGGAUAGCGCGUGCUGCCAAAUCUACAUCAGCAAAAGGUAAGUUAAGGACUGAGGUGGUGUUAUUUAAUUUUCUCUUCGUUUAUAUAUUACGCUGGUACUUGCAAACCAGUUUUCCAUCUACUGAUAGUUAUAAUUGAUUGGUAGCAUAGGAAAAUGAUAUAAAAAUGACUCCAUAAUUGUAGCUUUGAUUGUGUAGACAUCUAUGUCAUACGGAAGCUCUUGGAAUCGAUCCCCAAGUUUUUAAAAUCAUUCUUUCCACUUCUCAUUAUGCGCUAUUUACUCCCGGUCUGUAGUGAAAUAAAUGAAAAAAGCAUGUUGUGCAGUGAAGAUGCCAGCUAGAACGGUAUACGAGUUUGUCUACAUAUGUGGUUCUUCCAAAACUUAGUAAGCAGCUUGAAAAUUGUGGGAUUAGAAUGCUGCUAUCAACCAGAUGUAUGUUUGUUGGGAUACAUGGUAUCGAACAUCUAUAUAUCUAUACAUAACUAAAUGUAGAAAGUGCAUGCAAUUUUGUCUGCGAGUUUCCAACUUUGUUCCUCAAAAUGGAAUGUUCAGAAAUUAUUUUCUUAGAAAAAUGUUUUUGUUUUUUCUAAAGAUUUGGAUAUUGACUACCAACGGCAAAAAAGUAUUCAUGCAUAUUUUUAAAUACUUCCUCCGAUCUGGAAAAAAUGUCGGGCAUGCAUUUUUACAAACAAGCCCUCAGUCUUUGGUUUUAUCAACCUGCACUCCACAUAGUACAAUUUUUUCAACGAUAUGUUGCUUGAAGCACAAAAAAAAGACAAUUAUUUUUAUGUUUUUAGGUCCAAGACUUAAAUCCGUGUUUGUAUGUCAUCUCUGAAUUUGUUGUUUUCCGAAUUUCUUUACAUAACACAUGUAUAUUGAUUAGAGAUUUAUGUUUAUGUUUGCACAAUGCAUCCAAUAUCUGCAUAGUGCAUUCAAAAUAUUGUCGCUCUAGCAUGUACUUCAAUAUGACUUUGAUAAUAUAGUCGCUGUAGCAAUGACACAAUAUGCUCCACUUUGUUUUAAUGGUAAGAAAAUAGUUAUUGCGUGAUUACAUUAUUGAUAUUAGAUUCAUAAAUUUCUACAAAUUCAAAUAUUUUGUAUGUUGAUUCUACAUUAUUGUGCUUCUCUGUCACUACUGAGUAACUGACCCACGAUCUGAAUAUAUUUCAAGUACAAUUUCGUUGAGGAAUUGAAAAAUUUGUCGUGAGGACCAGAGAUGAUAUAAUAGAUGUCAGACUAAUUUAGCAGGCAAGUAUAUGUUGGUUGUGAAAGUAAAAUUAUAGUUUUGAAGGAGAAUAUAUAGAUUUGGGAGGCAGAAAAUAUGUGCGGAUGAUAGUGGUAGAAGAAGAUAUAUUUAAAAAAAAAUAUUCUGAAUCAAGUCCCAAUACGGUACGCAUUUUCUAUGCCAUUGAAUAGAUCACAAAGGUACAAGAACAUGGGAUGUUCAGAGUUUCGCAAAGCAUCUAUCCUUCCAAUUGAAUCUUUAUCAUUUGAAAUUAGGUAUAUAUAUGUGCACUUACAAUAAUUCUAUAUUGCGUACUAAAAGAACAUGUCCAAUUCCAACGAGAUCCUAGCUAGGCGGUGAAUGGCAUAGUUACGAUGAGAAAAAUGACCACGGGCGGCGGGACAGUUGUUCUCCAACAAUCCAGCGGCCGUUGUCUUCAGCGGACAGCACGGGUACGUGGACAGCAGGUGUAUCUCUAGCGCCGGCUUUUCCUCUCCAGCCAUGCAUCUCAAGAAUCUGCUCACCCUUCUUCCGCUUGAUUCCACAACCGCUCAUCAGUCCCUUCAUCGCCAGUGCAUGCGGCCUGACUGCACAUGACGUUGAGGAGUGCCAAGCAGUUGACAUCCUUUUGACCUCUUUCUCUUGCGGGUGAAGCAUCGAUGGUUUCAUGAUACUAGCCAAGCAGUAGAAGAUAGGAAGCCGAUCAAGUGGAAAGGUUUGUGUAAAAGAGCUGAGGCAAAAGAGUGCUGCUACACACACGACAAAACCUGUCCGAUUUGUGUACGAAGUUGUACAGGAGCCGUAGAUUGCACCCCCUAGGUAGCAUCCUGGUUGCACAUCGGCUCAUCGGACAAAAAUCGGACUAAUUCAGUCGUACGUGUAGUAAUUGUAGUGUUGGUAAAUUAGAAGCGUUAGCAAAUGUUUUUAACCUUUUCUCAACAAGGUGACUGAUAGUCAUGUGGUGAAAGAUGUCUUACAUAUAGAAGUAUCUUCUGCUAGAAGAAAGAAACUUUUAUGUUUAGUAAAUCUGUGACUCCAAGUUUGCUCAAAAGGAUUUUGGUAGCUGAUCUUUUUGUCAUCUCUACUUGGAGAAAAAAAUGCAAAAGGCCUACAAGUCAAAUCAUAUUACCCAUAUACUAUGAAUAAAUUUGCAGGUGCACGCUUCAGAUUAUCAUAUAUCCAGUAUACGCGCAUAGAGAGGAUACUUUAGGGAUGGAAAUGGAGUAGGAAGUAUCCAACUUCAUGACGAAAAUAGAGGUUAUAAGUUUCACUUCCUCUAUGUUCCUUACCUAUGUAUCGAAUCUAAUCUAUUCUACUGUAUAUGAAUUUAUUUGAUAACAUGAUUCUAUCAUGCAAUUUUUUCGCUACAGUUAAUCAUGUACAGAUUGGGGAUAUAAAACUAAAUAGAAACAAGGUCAUGUGAUUUUUUGCCUAAGGCAAUGCAGCUUUGGGUUGAGAAUCAGGCGCGAAACAAAAAUUGUUCGGAGUAGAACAAUCAGAUGCUUGGUCAUAUAUUGGCUAUUAUAUUUGUACUGGUGACAUUUACGAUGAGAAGAUUGGAUAUACGAAGUAAGGCAUGGCCGUUCGUAAGAUUGUAACUAUAUUCAUACCAUACACAAAAUUAAUUAACAAUAAAAAUAUAUAUUAAUAACUAAUAAAACAUAAAAUAAUAAAUGGCAACUAUAAUGUUCAUAAAAUAUAUACGCACAAAUAUUGUCUAGCCCCGCGAAUUCGCGGGCCA